CCUGGCAGCUCAGAUGGCAAAGCAUCUGCCUGCAAUGCAGGAGACCCAGGUUUGAUCCCUGGGUCAGGA
rnacentral:tRNA from 1 species